rnacentral:ribozyme from 13 species
CCAACAAAAAAAAAAAAAAAAAAAAAAAAAAAAAAAAAAAAAAAAAAAA